UGCAUGGUUGUCGUCAGCUCGUGUCGUGAGAUGUUGGGUUAAGUCCCGCAACGAGCGCAACCCUUAAGCUUAGUUGCCAUCAUUAAGUUGGGCACUCUAAGUUGACUGCCGGUGACAAACCGGAGGAAGGUGGGGAUGACGUCAAAUCAUCAUGCCCCUUAUGAUUUGGGCUACACACGUGCUACAAUGGACAAUACAAAGGGCAGCGAAACCGCGAGGUCAAGCAAAUCCCAUAAAGUUGUUCUCAGUUCGGAUUGUAGUCUGCAACUCGACUACAUGAAGCUGGAAUCGCUAGUAAUCGUAGAUCAGCAUGCUACGGUGAAUACGUUCCCGGGUCUUGUACACACCGCCCGUCACACCACGAGAGUUUGUAACACCCGAAGCCGGUGGAGUAACCUUUUAGGAGCUAGCCGUCGAAGGUGGGACAAAUGAUUGGGGUGAAGUCGUAACAAGGUAGCCGUAUCGGAAGGUGCGGCUGGAUCACC
rnacentral:rRNA from 1 species